AGUCGAGCGGUAACAGGAAUUAGCUUGCUAAUUUGCUGACGAGCGGCGGACGGGUGAGUAACGCGUAGGAAUCUGCCUAGUAGUGGGGGACAACAUGUGGAAACGCAUGCUAAUACCGCAUACGCCCUACGGGGGAAAGGAGGGGAUCUUAGGACCUUUCGCUAUUAGAUGAGCCUGCGUGAGAUUAGCUAGUUGGUGGGGUAAAGGCUCACCAAGGCGACGAUCUCUAGCUGGUCUGAGAGGAUGAUCAGCCACACUGGGACUGAGACACGGCCCAGACUCCUACGGGAGGCAGCAGUGGGGAAUAUUGGACAAUGGGCGCAAGCCUGAUCCAGCCAUGCCGCGUGUGUGAAGAAGGCCUUCGGGUUGUAAAGCACUUUCAGAGGUGAGGAAGGUUGUGUAGUUAAUACCUGCAUAAUUUGACGUUAGCCUCAGAAGAAGCACCGGCUAACUCUGUGCCAGCAGCCGCGGUAAUACAGAGGGUGCGAGCGUUAAUCGGAAUUACUGGGCGUAAAGCGCGCGUAGGCGGUUUGUUAAGUCGGAUGUGAAAUCCCCGGGCUCAACCUGGGAAUUGCACCCGAUACUGGCAGGCUAGAGUACGGUAGAGGGGUGUGGAAUUUCCUGUGUAGCGGUGAAAUGCGUAGAUAUAGGAAGGAACAUCAGUGGCGAAGGCGAC
rnacentral:rRNA from 1 species